rnacentral:tRNA from 1 species
GGGCCGGUGGUUUAAUGGCAUAAUGCUACGUUCGCAACGUGGAGGUAGGGGGUUCAAUUCCCUCCCGGUCCA